rfam:Gossypium raimondii Chr10_contig_22, whole genome shotgun sequence.
UGUUAAAAAGAUCAUCUAUUUGUAUUGUUAAAAAUCGGUGUUUAUACCAUGUGUACAUCAUGUUGACUUACAUGGAUCAAAUUUUAACUGUAGAAAUGGAUGGAAUUUUUAACG